CGGUACUCUGACUCUCCGACUCAUUGAUCACCACGGCUGCGGGAUCAAAGACAGGAAAACACGGAAGUUGCCUCUAGCUGAAGUACUGAACGAUGGCGGCAGACGGACAGUCCUUACCUUCUGCAGAGUCCAGUACGGAGCCAGAGCCCAACAACUCUGACUGCCAGCGUGUGGGAACAGGGACAGGAAAUGAGGGAAACAAACGGGAAAUGUCACCAAGUGACAAGAAAGUUGCAGGAAGUGAUGACAGGAGGGAGGAUGUCAACACAGCAGAGAAGGAAGGACUCUGCCAGUUCUUCCUGAAGGGGAAGUGUCACUUUGGGAAUCGCUGCUGGAGGUCACACAGGUCCUUCUUUCACCUUUUCACCAAUCCUAGAGGAAAGCUGGAUAAGAACGAGCCCGGGGCAGAGCGGGUCUCUGGGGUUCUGUCUUUCCUUCGGCUGGAGUGCAUGUGUUGAUUGAACAGCUCCUCCCACUCCCUCUCCACAGCAUCCCGUCCGCACCGCCCGAGGGUCCGAGGGGCAGCGCGGGUGGAGAAGAAGACGAGCCCCUCCCGAAGGGCAGGACGGGGAAAGGCGGGGGCGGGGGGAGAGGGCAGCAGAGAGAGCCGGAGAGCGGUGGGGCACAAGGAAAGAAACCCUCCAUGAGAACGGCCGACGAUGUCAUUAGCCGUAUUUUAUGGGACCCCUGCGUUGAUCCCUCCCAGUUCGGGGUCGGCUACCUCGACCGCUUCCUUGGGGUCCUUGAACGCCCCUUCUCUGACUUUUCAUGGGAUGCAGAUCUGUGCAGCUCAGACUGCGCGGAGGAGUUAGCCCUUCCCAGGCACAGGAUACAGUAUUUCACCUACAGGGGGGCUCGUGUGUGGGACAGGAGGAGCAGACUGGACGGGGUGUUUGGGUCAACUGGGGGUCCCCUCUGCCCCCCGUUUGGGAAUGAAGCUACAGAGGCUGGCCAACCACAAGCAGGAAGUAGCCACCCAGCCACGGCAUGUGACCAGGAUGAAGCAGGAAAUGACCCACAGGAAGCAGGGAAUGAUGGUCAGCCGAGGCCUAGCCAGCAGCAUGAAGUGGGAGAUUUCCCACAAAGUGCUCAAGGAACAGAAGAACAAGUACAAACAAGAGGUCCUUCUAGCCCAUCUGGUACUUAGUACUCAAUUGAUUUCAGGAUGGCCUGGGUAUCUGCUUCAACGACAUGGUUGAGUAUCUUUUUUCUAGAUUCCCAUAACCCACAAAGGGGAAAUAAGAAGCAAGAUACUGUAGCAUCCCUGAUCUCUUAAGUUAAAAUCAUUUAGAAGCACCUCCCCUAUUCCUCUGCUCAGAAACUUAUAUAAACUAUUCUGUUUCUUUCACUAAAGCAAGCUGUUCUGUAAAAGGAAUAAUUCAUUUCAUGGUGUGAAGGUUAAUAGUUCUCGUGGAAGCUUCAGUGAGAUGUCUGUCCUCUUUGCAAGGAUAUAACCUACACUACAGUCCAAAUGUUUACACUAAGAUGAAGAACACUAUAUAUAUGUCACCCUUUGAGCAAUAUAAAGAAGAGCAUAUAUGCACUAAAUUUAGAAUCAUCCUUAAGAAAUCAGCUUCAUUUAUAUAAAGGAAAUAUUUCUAGAUUUUCAUUUCAAAAUGACUUGUAUCAUUGGGAGUAUAUGUGUGAAUGGUUUAUUUAAAAUGGCAAAUACUGUAUGAAUUUAUAUCAAAAUUAAAAUUUUAAAUAUUUUA